rnacentral:rRNA from 1 species
CCUACGGGGGGCAGCAGUGGGGGAUAUUGCACAAUGGGGGCAACCCUGAUGCAGCGACGCCGCGUGAGCGAUGGAGUACUUCGGUAUGUAAAGCUCUGUCAGCAGGGAAGAGAAUGACGGUACCUGACCAAGAAGCCCCGGCUAAAUACGUGCCAGCAGCCGCGGUAAUACGUAUGGGGCAAGCGUUAUCCGGAUUUACUGGGUGUAAAGGGAGCGUAGACGGCAUUGCAAGUCUGAUGUGAAAGAUUGGGGCUCAACCCCAGGCCUGCAUUGGAAACUGUAAAGCUGGAGUACAGGAGAGGUAA